UACGAAGGGGGCGAGCGUUGUUCGGAAUUACUGGGCGUAAAGGGCGCGUAGGCGGUGUGUCAAGUCAGGCGUGAAAGCCCCGGGCUCAACCUGGGAACCGCGCUUGAGACUGGCACGCUAGAGUUCGGGAGAGGAUGGUGGAAUUCCUGGUGUAGCGGUGAAAUGCGCAGAUAUCAGGAGGAACACCGAUGGCGAAGGCAGCUCGCUGGGACGGUACUGACGCUGAGGCGCGAAAGCGUGGGGAGCAAACAGG
rnacentral:rRNA from 1 species